GAUGAACGCUGGCGGCGUGCUUAACACAUGCAAGUCGAACGGGAAACCUUUUAAUGAAGCUUCGGCAGAUUUCGCUGGUUUCUAGUGGCGGACGGGUGAGUAACGCGUGGGUAACCUGCCUUAUACAGGGGGAUAACAGUCAGAAAUGACUGCUAAUACCGCAUCAGCGCACAGGACCGCAUGGUCCGGUGUGAAAAACUCCGGUGGUAUAAGAUGGACCCGCGUUGGAUUAGCUUGUUGGUGGGGUAACGGCUCACCAAGGCGACGAUCCAUAGCCGGCAUGUGAGGGUGGACGUACACACUUGCACUGAGACACGGUGCAGAAUAUUGCGCGAGGGAGGCGAGCGGAAUAUAGCAAAAUCGCGGAAAUGAUGAUGCAGCGAGGCUGCGAGAAGGAAGAAGUAUCUGGGUAUGUAAAUAUAUAUAAGCAGUGAACACAGUGACGGUACCCGAAGAAGAAGCCCCGGCUAACUCCGUG
rnacentral:rRNA from 1 species